UACAGAGGUCCCAAGCGUUGUUCGGAUUCACUGGGCGUAAAGGGUGCGUAGGUGGCCGGGUAAGUCUGACGUGAAAUCUCCGAGCCUAACUCGGAAACUGCAUCGGAUACUAUCCGGCUUGAGGGUUGGAGGGGGGACUGGAAUACUUGGUGUAGCAGUGAAAUGCGUAGAUAUCAGGAGGAAUACCAGUGGCGAAGGCGGCAUCCUGGCCAUGUCCUGACGCUCAGGGGCGAAAGCGUGGGGAGCAAACCGG
rnacentral:rRNA from 1 species